rnacentral:rRNA from 1 species
GAUUUCUGGUUUGACGUACCUGUCCCGCUGCGGUAACGUAUGUGUGUGACGGAGUAUGUUUGCCAUCCUUCUAGAGAAUGCAUGCUACCCUUUACUGGGCCGGUGUGUAUCAUCUAGAUCUUUUACUUUGAAAAAAUUAGAGUGUUUCAAGCAGGCGUUUUGCUAUGAAUACAUUAGCAUGGAAUAAUAAUCUAGGACUUCGGUUCUAUUUUGUUGGUUUCUAUAACUGAAGUAAUGAUUGAUAGGGAUAGUUGGGGGUGCUAGUAUUGGCCGGCCAGAGGUGAAAUUCUUGGAUUCGGUCAAGACUAACUUAUGCGAAAGCAUU